UAUGGCCACAUCACUUUGAAACAACGGUUCUCGUACGAUCACCGAAGUUAAACAAUAUCGAUCUGGUCAAUACCUAGAUGGUUGACCACUUGGGAAUGUCAGGAGUUGUAA